rnacentral:rRNA from 1 species
GAUGAACGCUGGCGGCGUGCCUAAUACAUGCAAGUCGAGCGAACAGACGAGGAGCUUGCUCCUCUGACGUUAGCGGCGGACGGGUGAGUAACACGUGGAUAACCCACCUAUAAGACUGGGAUAACUUCGGGAAACCGGAGCUAAUACCGGAUAAUAUAUUGAACCGCAUGGUUCAAUAGUGAAAGACGGUUUUGCUGUCACUUAUAGAUGGAUCCGCGCUGCAUUAGCUAGUUGGUAAGGUAACGGCUUACCAAGGCAACGAUGCGUAGCCGACCUGAGAGGGGGAUCGGCCACACGGGAACUGAGACACGGUCAAGACUCCUACGGGAGGCAGCAGUAGGGAAUCUUCCGCAGUGGGCGAAAGCCUGACGGAGCAACGCCGCGUGAGUGAUGAAGGUCUUCGGAUCGUAAAACUCUGUUAUUAGGGAAGAACAGAUGUGUAAGUAACUAUGCACGUCUUGACGGUACCUAAUCAGAAAGCCACGGCUAACUACGUG